CGAUACUCAACGAAAAUUUCGACACGGUUGCAUAGCUCAUAAUACGAAUUUCACUUUCGAUCUUCGAUAACUCAUAAUUAGGGCCUUAGCUUUUAGGAACUUUUCGGCAAUUCGUUCGUUACGGGUUAAUAUAAGUACAUUACCGUCGCGGAGUUGGGAAAUUGAAUCUUGUUCCGUUGAGAAAGAUUCUAUACAUUUUUUAAUAGAGAAUGGGCUCAAUUAAGAUAGAGAUUUGUUAUUAUCUGCGGAUGAUAUCAGCCACAUCACGACUUGAAUCAGCUGGCGAACUAUCUGCUAAUAAAUCGAAGACGAUUUGAUCAUCUGGCUAUCACCAAAACUCUAAAUGAUAAGAAAAUCAACUUAGCCCCGGUUUGUAUCCAAGCCGUGUAUUCUGCUAUCUUAAACGACUAUAGGAAUUCCAACUUCUGUAUUUUCUACACGGACGCCUCUGUUGGCCCCAGUUCGGCAGGCUGUGGUGUGUACAACUAUACUAAUUCAACCUUACUGCCUGUAAUCUCCUUGCAAAGGACAAGACGUAUAACCACCUCAUUCUUGAAGUUCAUAACCUAAUCCAAGCAGCAGACUUUUACAAUGUGUCCAUUAUCUGGACUCCCAGCCAUGUCGGCAUCGCAGGUAACGAAACUGCCGACUCUUUAGCUAAAACAGCGGUAAGCUGUGAUAACAUCCUUGACGUUAAAUUAACAAUUGACGAAGCGCUCAGAAACAUACGUAACACAAUUUACAAUAAAUGGUAUGAAGAUUUCCUUAUCUUUUACAGCAACAAACAUAGCCUUUUUGCACAAAUCUGUACUCAGAGACCCCAAAAACAUGGUUCAACAAAUUUAAAAGAAGUCCUAGGGAAAUUCAAAUACUGAAUCGAAUCCUAAGCGGCUACACUUACGACAAUGAGUACCUUUAUCGUAUUAAUGCGAUAAAUUUUAAUACUUGCAGAUGUGGAGUCUGAUGAUUAUAUUCACCAGACCUUCCACUUUCCCUCGCUUGCUGGCGCUCGAGGGCUUCGAAGGCAUACUAAACAGCGCUGAUUUUUCCGAUAUCUUUCGCGGCUUUGACUUCUGCAAAAUCACUCUGCUUGCUGAGUUCCUAACUAAAGUUGAAGCUAAAUUCUAAAAUUUUAAUAUAACAUUAAUCAUGAACAUUACUUAUCACGGGUGGAAAUACCGUCCUCCUCACUCAAUCCUCCCUGUCCUUCCCUCCAUUAUACCUUCACUCAUUCAUCACUGUUCGGUCUUAAAUGACUGUCCCAUCGCACAAGUCAACUCAACUAUCUCAUCUUACACGCACAUCUGAUUCACCUCAAAUCGCUCCUUUUGACGUCCACGAUCUUCUACACGGAUUACAAUACUACAUCUCAACUUAUCCGCCACUUACCUCUGCAGUCUUUCGAACAAACAAAGAUGUCCAGCUUAAGUCAACGGUAAAGACGACUCACAUGCCAUUGAUCACCUCGGUUUAGUUACACUGUCCAACAACCUUUUGGAUCAUUCAACAAGAGAUUAGCUACGCGAACGCAACUAUCAUCACUCAUCAAGUGCUACUGCACAGUACGCUUUAUCCUCAAGGUACACCUUCGUGUAACACGUCAGAACUAUUCAAGCAGAGGGAUAACCUGGCGUUGGGUAACUUCCCAUCGAACUCAAAACAAAAAAAAAAAAAAAAACCUUAUCAGUACAACGAAGGCCUGGAAGUGGAAGAAAAGAAGGAUUUGUGUCGCAGUCAAAGGCCAAAGAAGUAUUGCCAUUAUUUCGAAAAAAAACCUGGCUUUUCACUUCGACAUGCUGCAAAAAAGGUCCAUAUGUCGAAAGGUUACGUCCAAAAACUGCGCAAAAGUGAAGGUUUACGAUCAUAUAAAAAGAUUGUAGCCCCAAAUCGAAAUGAUAAACAAAAUAAGAUUGCUAAAAGCGUGCGCGAAAAUUAUACAGUCAAGACAUUCUUAGAUAUGGAUGUGUGGUUAUGGACGAUGAAACAUACGUCAAAGCAGACUUUAAACAGAUUCAGAGCGUAGAGUUUUAUACUGCAACAAAGAGAGGUGGAGUGACAGGUGCCUUCAAACUAAAAAUGAUGGACAAGUUCCCUAAACAAUUUUUGGUGUGGCAAGCCAUCUGUCAGUGUGGUAUGAAAACCAAAACAUUCAUUACCACGGGCACAAUACAUCAAGAAAUUUUUAUAAAGGAAUGUUUGCAAAAACGUUUGCUGCCAUUCAUUAAACAACAUCAAGGCUGUUCUGUUCUGGCGCCAUUUAACGUUGUGCCAUUACAGCCGUCUUGCCAUGAAGUGGUAUGAAAGCAAUGGGGUAAAUAUUGUUGAAAAGGACCACAACAAAAACCAAACUGCCCACAAUUGCGACCCAUUGAAUAAUAUUAGGCAAUUGUUAAAAGAAAAUUGCUAAAGAUGAAAAAAUACGCCAAAAAUUAGCAGCAGUUUAAAAGGAAUUGGCAGAGAGCAGCAGAUACCGUCACAAAAACUGAUGUCCACCGCUUAAUGAGCGGGUUCAAAUCUAAACUGCGCCAUUUGGUUUAUCUUAAAGAGAAUUGAAAUGAGUUUUUCGUUGAAUAUAGUAAACUUAAUAAAGAAGAUAAUAAAACAAAAAUAGGAUUUCCUUGCUUGUAUAAUUUGUUGUUAUAAUGAUUUUCGACUGACCAAAAUUUUUCGUGUCCAUUCUUUAUUU